GUGAGGAAUAUUGGUCAAUGGGCGAGAGCCUGAACCAGCCAAGUCGCGUGAAGGAAGAAGGAUCUAUGGUUCGUAAACUUCUUUUGCAGGGGAAUAAAGUGCAGGACGUGUUCUGUUUUGUAUGUACCCUGAGAAUAAGGAUCGGCUAACUCCGUGCCAGCAGCCGCGGUAAUACGGAGGAUCCGAGCGUUAUCCGGAUUUAUUGGGUUUAAAGGGUGCGUAGGUGGUUUGAUAAGUCAGCGGUGAAAGUUUGCAGCUUAACUGUAAAAAUGCCGUUGAAACUGUCGGACUUGAGUGUAAAUGAGGUAGGCGGAAUGCGUGGUGUAGCGGUGAAAUGCAUAGAUAUCACGAAGAACUCCGAUUGCGAAGGCAGCUUACUAAGCUACAACUGACACUGAAGCACGAAAGCGUGGGGAUCAAACAGGAUUAGAAACCCCUGUAGUCC
rnacentral:rRNA from 1 species